rnacentral:rRNA from 1 species
UACGAAGGGGGCAAGCGUUGCUCGGAAUCACUGGGCGUAAAGCGCGCGUAGGCGGCUUGCUAAGUCAGGGGUGAAAUCCUGGAGCUCAACUCCAGAACUGCCUUUGAUACUGGCGACCUUGAGUCCGGGAGAGGUGAGUGGAACUGCGAGUGUAGAGGUGAAAUUCGUAGAUAUUCGCAAGAACACCAGUGGCGAAGGCGGCUCACUGGCCCGGUACUGACGCUGAGGUGCGAAAGCGUGGGGAGCAAACAGG